GCCUGGUUGUCUUGCAGCCAGUCAGACAAGGACCUGGACAGAGAGAGGGAGCAGGACUUGCUACACCCUCACUAUGCACUAUGCCCCCAAGUACCUGAACCUCAGGAUUAACGUCACCAUGGCAUGUCGAGGACAGAGUCAACUACUCUUGUCGUGUUGUGGAGAAGUGAUGGCCUAUUUGCAUUACAUGGAGCUUUGGACCUCCAUCUUGUUGCUGUGAUGAGCAUGAUUGCCUUGCAGUUGGACAAAGACCUGGGCUGAGAGAGGGAGCAGACUGUCUCUACUAUUGUGGAUGGACAUCAUUGUGGCAUGUCGAGGACAUAGUGAACCAGAUUGUCAUGUUGCAGAGAUGUGAUGACUAAUCUGCAUUUCAUGGACCUUGGACCUCCUCUAUGUUGCUGGGAUGAGCAUAAUUGCCCUGCAGGGAUCAGGACUAAUUCCAGCCUCACAAACACAUG